AGCAACUCAGUUACUCUUUGACAUUUUCCUAUAGUCUAGGAAAAUAUCGAUCGUGUUUUCCUACAUUUUCAAUCUAUAACUAUUGCUUCCUAUGGCGAUAACGAGCGCCUGUGCCUUUUUUGUAUUGUCAUGUAUGUUUGUGAUUUUUGCUAUUUGCGUCUGAAAAUUUAAUUAUUUAAUAUUUUCUCUUUAUAUAUGUAUUAUUUGAAAUUGAGAUGAGAAAGACACUAGACACUUGAUGAUUAUAGUUUGUACGAUUUUUUAUAACGCUGUUAUCUAGAAAAAUGAUGAAAUGAAGGCUGAAUAUGGCGUCCAAUGAAGAGAUAAUAAUUUGUAUUGCAUAAAGGAAGGGCCAUGUACUACUACAAUUUAGUUCAAUGCGGGACCUCAGACAGGACAGCACAAUCUAAUAAUGAUGCUGAUAUUUUGUUUCCUUUUUUCUCACCAAACCCUUAAACAUAUGAUUUUAAUUUUUAGGCACCUUCACUAACGACUACUGUACUAAUAAUUUUUUUUUUACUUUCAGAAUUGGUAUUGUGGUUAACAAAUGCGAGUAUGCAAAUCUCCGCUUUGUGACAAGAUCUUCGAUGCUUUACUCUAUUUUUAUAAUCUGCAUCAAAAUUUCUAUUGUAACACAAUCAUUGGUUAUAGAAAUGUUACUUUUAAAAAACAUAUAUGCAACAAAUGUCAAAUAAAAUGAUACAAAUUGUUGAUAACUUGCAGAUCCAACCAGACCAUCAACAACUUACAAAUAGAAGAAAUGUUAGAACAGCUUUUAGAAAGGGAGAAAUGACAGAUUUAUGUAUUUUAUUAUAGUACAAAUAUCUAUCUUAUCUUCAUUCCUAAAGCUGGACAUCAAAGUAAUGGAUUAAAGUUGCUCGGUCCCAUCUUAUAACUCAAAGGUGGUGCCUUAUGCCAGAGUAUAAUCUGUCAGAAAAUGAAAACAGCAAGUCGACAAGCUUUUAGGGAGGAAGAAAUUAUGGAUAUCUAUGUAUUUUCUAUUAUACAUAUAUCCAUCAUUUCUUAAUUCCUAGUCGCUUAAAAUCGAACAUGAACUGAUCUGGUACAAAGAAUUAAGAAGUACAAUGUUCUGAAAAUGGAAGCCAAAAUUAAUUACAUUUAGUACUCCACUGUCUAAUUUAUUGUAAUUUUCAAGCUUAUUGAAAACAAUUUAA